AACGUAGGAGACAAACGUUAUCCGGAGUUACUGGGCGUAAAGGGCGUGUAGGCGGUUAGUUAAGUCUGGCGUGAAAGCUCUCGGCUAAACCGGGAGAGGUCGUUGGAUACUGGCAAACUUGAGGACGGUAGAGGCGUGUGGAAUUCCGGGUGUAGUGGUGAAAUGCGUAGAGAUCCGGGGGAACACCAGUGGCGAAGGCGACACGCUGGGCCGUACCUGACGCUAAAGCGCGACAGCAUGGGGAGCAAACGGG
rnacentral:rRNA from 1 species